rnacentral:lncRNA from 10 species
UUCUAUAUAAUCCUUUCACUAGCAUACUCUUUCUACAUAAUGGAUAAUUUACUUAAAAAGCAAACCCCUAUAUUUUGAAACUUAAUUUUAGAAAUAGAAAAGAUUACUGGCAGCCAAACAAAGUAUUUACUCAGGUGCCUCGUAAACAUGAUUUGGCAUCCAAAACCUGGAUAUGACUUAGAGAGGAGCUCACACCUUUGAACAAACUGUGCUUUUCUAAUCCUGCACCUUUAUCUGAGCCAAAGCCCCAGGUCAGGGCUAGGAAAGUCAAGAAAUAGGAAGGAAAUCGGUCAGUUUUCUAUCAUCAUUGGUUGGGCUUGAAAGUGUAACAAGAGGUUAAAAUAGAAGUUCUAGCUGAAGCACAAAGAAAGUAGAAACAACACAUCAAAGUGAGGGAUUUAUAAAGCAGGAGACUGAAAACCAGCUGGUGACUCUUGAAUUCCUCACCCUUAUUGAGAGUAUAAAAGGCUUAUAGCCCUCACCCUUUCACCUCAAAUCAAGAGGGAAGGGUUUUAGAAACACAACUUGGAGAGCUUAAUAUGUAUCCCUGAAGUUUGAGGAAAGGGGACGUAGUGUACUGACUUCUGCCUGGAAAGUCUAACAGGUGGGAGAUUAAUUGACUGCAAUGAAGGAGAAAGCCAAUGACAGGUUGCUUCUUGACUGGAAUUGUUCAGCACUCCAGAGGCUGUCAGGGAAAGGAUGUGAGCAUGCUGCCUGGAAUCUGAUGUGGCUCAGCUGUAGGACAAAGAUAGUGUGUUUUCUUAAGUUCUGACCAAAUGAACCACCUUAAGAGACAAAGAUCACUCAGCAAGGAAAGCUGAAGAUGCUAUGAGAUGCCAGAGGUUGGGGAAGGAGCAAACAACCAGCUGGAAUGGAUAUGCCUUUUCUCAAAGAAAAUUGCAAGUGGAAGAAUUCCAGCCAUGGGGUCUCCAAAGCAUCCGUGAAACUGUUCCACAAGACAAGGAUGGAUGACUGAAUGCCAAACCCAGAGAGCAGUGAAGCUAAAUCAACUCAAUCAUUUCAGUGAAGAAAGAAAUCUCCUGUCCUUUCCUGUCCCUGAACUCCAUGAUGAAGGGCCAUGUGCUGUAGGUAGCAAAACAGGGGAGAAAGAAUUUCAGUUUUCCUUUUCCCUUGAAAUUUUCUAGCUAAAUCAGUCCGAAAUGUGGAAGGAAAAAGCAUGAAGUUUUUUAUUUUUAUUUUUUGAGACUGAGUCUUGCUCUGUUGCCCAGGCUGGAGUGCAGUGGUGUGGUCUUGGCUCACUGCAACCUCCUCUUCUCGAGUUCAAAUGAUUCUCCUGCCUCUGCCUCCCGAGUAGCUGGAAUUACAGCCGUGCACCACCAUGCCCAGCUAAUUUUUAUAUUUUUAGUAGAAACAGGUUUCACCAUGUUGGCCAGGCUGGUAAUGAACUCCUGACUUCAGGUGUCUGCCAGCCUUGGCCUCCCAAAGUGCUGGAAUUACAGGCAUGAGCCACCACACCUGGCCACAUGAAAGCAUGAAAUUUAAUGCAGAUAGAUUUACCUAUCAUAUAAAAAUGGAAAACCGAAUUACUAAGUGGAACUGAUAUUUUGUGAUCCAGGAAUGACCAUGUCUGAACUUUCAUUUGAGGGGAAAAAGGAUAAUUAACACCAUUGAACAAAUUUAAAGGGAGAAUGGAAGACAAAGUAAAGUUGUUUUAUGUUUACAUACAGCUGUGCUAUUAAGAAAAGCUACCGAUUUUUAUUUUUUGUCUCGUACAAAUUUUUCUCAUUAAAGUUAUACAACCAACAAAAAUAGAUUUGUAUCUUCUUUUCUACUAUGAGUAUUGAUUAUUUUUAUCUCAUUGCAUUUGCUUGGACCUUCUCAAGAAUAUGGCAAAUAAUAAUAGUUAUACUAGGCAUCCUUGUCAAGUUCUGAUUUUAAUUGAAGAGGUUUUAGUGUUUCACCACUAGGAAUACUAUGUGCUUUUGGUUUCAAACUAGGCUUUAUUAAAUUUUAGUAUUUUAUUCCAGUUUUUAGUUUCUGUUUUCUAAUUUUGCAUUUAGUGAAAUUGGUCCAUAGUUUUAUUUUCUUCUGCUAAUGCUAUGCUGAGUUAAUAAAAUGAAUUGAGAAGCACUCACCUUUUUCUGUGGUCUGGAAUAAGUAACACUGAAAUAAUCUGUUCUUAAUACAUACGAUGAAAUACUUACAAAUGUGCAUUAUUGUGGUGACUUUUAAAAUAGUACAUGUUUAAUUACCUUUGAAGAUGCUAACGUAGCAAUUAAAAAUGUUUUUUCAUUUAUGAGUCAAUUUGAAUAAUUAUGGUUUUCUAGAAUAACAUUCAUUUUCUCCAAGUUUCAAAGUUUGUUUGCAAUGGACAUGCAUAUUUUAUUCUCUAAGAAAAAAAUUUCUCAUUUAUCUAUGAUUAUGCCACAUUCUCAUUUCUAAU